GUGGGGAAUUUUGGACAAUGGGCGAAAGCCUGAUCCAGCAAUGCCGCGUGUGUGAAGAGGGCCUUCGGGUUGUAAAGCACUUUUGGCAGGGAAGAAACAGUGCGUGCUAAUACCAUGCGCGAAUGACGGUACCUGCAGAAUAAGCACCGGCUAACUACGUGCCAGCAGCCGCGGUAAUACGUAGGGUGCAAGCGUUAAUCGGAAUUACUGGGCGUAAAGCGUGCGCAGGCGGCUUUGUAAGACGGAUGUGAAAGCCCCGGGCUCAACCUGGGACGUGCAUUCGUGACUGCAAGGCUAGAGUGUGUCAGAGGGAGGUGGAAUUCCGCGUGUAGCAGUGAAAUGCGUAGAGAUGCGGAGGAACACCGAUGGCGAAGGCAGCCUCCUGGGAUAACACUGACGCUCAGGCACGAAAGCGUGGGGAGCAAACAGGAUUAGAAACCCCUGUAGUCC
rnacentral:rRNA from 1 species